rnacentral:rRNA from 1 species
GACGAACGCUGGCGGCGUGCUUAACACAUGCAAGUCGAACGGAAAGGCCCUGCGUUUGUGGGGUGCUCGAGUGGCGAACGGGUGAGUAACACGUGAGUAACCUGCCCUUGACUUUGGGAUAACUUCAGGAAACUGGGGCUCAUACCGGAUAGGAGCUCCUGCUGCGUGGUGGGGGUUGGAAAGUUUCGGCGGUUGGGGAUGGACUCGCGGCUUAUCAGCUUGUUGGUGGGGUAGGGGCUUACCAAGGCUUUGACGGGUAGCCGGCCUGAGAGGUUGACCGGCCACCUUGGGACUGAGAUACGGACCAGACUCCUACGGGAGGCAGCAGUGGGGAAUAUUGCACAAUGGGCGGAAGCCUGAUGCAGCAACGCCGCGUGCGGGAUGACGGCCUUCGGGUUGUAAACCGCUUUCGCCGGUGACGAAGCGUGAGUGACGGUAAUGGGUAAAGAAGCACCGGCUAACUACGUG